rnacentral:rRNA from 1 species
AUGAGAGUUGGGUUCUACCUCAAAUGGAUUCGUUGUGCCUUCUUAGGUACUAAGGACUUGACCAUGCAGAAGCUAGGAGGGAGACUCAAGCACACAUGGAGGAAGGAGAAGGAAGAAGGGCAUGAAGGAGUGGAGCCACUGGACACCCGGGUGCCCGGCCGCCCCAGCCUGGGCGCUGCUCGCCGCCCCGGGUGCCCGGCCACCCCGCUGGGCGCUGGCCCUUGCCUCCGGGUGCCCGGGCCGCGACCCCCGGGUGCCCGGCCUCUACCGCGGCUAGGCCAUCGACCCUCUGACCCGUCCGGGUGCCCAGCCCCCCUCUUUGGCGCCUCCCUCUGA